rnacentral:rRNA from 1 species
ACCGGCAGCACAAGAGGUGGACAAUUUUAUAGGGCAUAAAGCGUUCGAAACCGGUUUGAUAAGUCUCUGGUGAAAUCCCGCAGCUUAACUGUGGGACUUGCUGGAGAUACUAUUAGACUUGAGGUCGGGAGAGGUUAGGGGUACUCCCAGGGUAGGGGUGAAAUCCUAUAAUCCUGGGAGGACCACCUGUGGCGAAGGCGCCUAACUGGAACGAACCUGACGGUGAGUAACGAAAGCCAGGGGCGCGAACCG